ACAAUUCAAUCGAUGGUAACACUAGCCACAUAGGGAACGACGACAUUCUACGAAAGAAACAAAUGAAUCGAACCUGGACAGCCACGAUAACAGAUUGCAGGACUGGCGAAUGCUUGAAGGACUUCAGUUGAUUGAAGACUCCCAGACCACCUGCAAUCGAUCCACAAUUCUCUCCGGCGGCUUUACCGGAUCGCUCGAAACCCUAUAAUUUCCGUCUAAGGGGGAAAAAAGAAGAACAACCAUCCAAGUUUCCUUCGAUAGCUCGCGGACGACCUUGAAGGAGAAACGAGAAAUCUUAGAGGAGGAGGCUCGAAUCGAGCCUGCCGGCGCGACCAUGGGGACGAACACGGCAGCAGGCAGCGGCAACUCGAGCGCGGCCGUUCCAGAACGGCACGGGAGGCAACGUUGCCCACCUCCCGCCAAAACGACGUCCGCCGGGCAUCGUCGUCUAUAAUUGGCCGCGCCGACGCACCCAACCAAAAGAAAGAAUGGGAGACAAUGGAGAAGGGCAAAAAAUGGCUUCGUCCGCCAAAAACCUUGACGAGCUCUUCCAUCCCGCGAAGCGGCUCCGCCCUCUCUCUCCAUCCGAACCCCCCGACGCCCUAAUCCCCCAUUCCCCUGUCUCCCCACUCCGUAAGGCCUCCCCCGCCCGCCGCGACCCCGCGCCGGAGUCCGCUGCUGCCCCCGCCCUCACCCCAGAGCAGAAGCAGCGGAUCGAGAUCAACAAGGCCCUUGCGCGGUCGAAGCGAAACCUCCGGAUCUGCAGAGAAAGAGUCGAGAAGGCCAAAGCCGAAGGGAUGGAUUAUGUGAAGCUGGAGGAACUUUUGGUGGAGGAAAGCUGGUUGGAGGCUCUCCCAGGGGAGCUUCAGAAACCGUACGCUAAAAAUCUUUGUAGGUUUGUGGAGCGGGAGACGCGAGGGAGUGUUCCGAUCUACCCUCCGCCAUACCUUGUAUUUAAUGCUCUCCAUUUGACACCCUUUGAUCAAGUGAAGGUUGUGAUCAUCGGACAGGAUCCAUAUCAUGGACAUGGUCAAGCCAUGGGUCUUGCUUUCUCGGUACCAGGUGGGGUCAAGAUUCCUUCCAGCCUAGUCAACAUUUUUAAGGAACUUAAAGAAGAUCUGGGGCAUUCUGUGCCAUUGCACGGAAAUCUGGAAAGAUGGGCUGUACAGGGUGUUCUUUUGCUCAAUGCUGUCCUCACUGUUAGGGAUCAUCAAGCUAAUUCACAUGCCAAAAAGGGGUGGGAGCCAUUUACUGAUGCUAUCAUUCGAACAAUAUCACAGAAGAAAUCAGGAGUUGUUUUCCUUCUGUGGGGAAAUUCUGCUCAAGAAAAAUCAAGACUGAUUGAUGGGUCAAAACAUCGCAUCUUGAGGGCUGCUCAUCCUUCUGGCCUUUCUGCUAACAGAGGGUUCUUCGGAUGCAGGCAUUUUUCUGAGACAAAUCGGGCACUGGAGAAACUCGGCCUUUCUCCCAUCGAUUGGAAACUGUAGAUCACAUGCAACGCUUCCAUGUGUGUUUUCAGCUCAAGAUCUCAAUCACCACCAGUUAUCGUCUGGGUUAUAGGAUGGACGCUUCAAGUUUUAGGUGUUGAUAUUUAUCUGGAGAGAACCAGCAGGUGCUCGAGUCUUCUCAUACGCAUCAGUUAUCUCCGAUCGACAAAGCUAAGAGAGAGAUGCUA